CGUGAUGUCACGGCUGAUCUGCGAAAACUAACAAGAAUGGCGUUUCUAACAGACAGUAUCAAUAUAUUUGGUUGUCAAACUUCAACAAUCAUCAGAACUAAAUAGUUAUGUUUUAUCCAGAAUUUUAAUCGUUGCAGCCUGUAUAGUUCUAACACAACACAAAAAUCUAACGUGAAUAACAAUGACAAGUAACCAAUGACAAAGUUAAGAGGCGUGACUUGCUGGAGGCCCCCCAGCUGCGAUGUAAAGACAGUAUUUAACCCCGCAGCAUCCACAGAAGUCAGCUGUUGUUUCAAGCGCGGAGUAUAUCGUUUCAGUUGUUGAGCGGAAUUAAACACCAGCCGUGUUUGGUAAACUUCAAAUCUUGGAGAAUUUUGAAGAAAAUUGGAACAGAGGAGCUGUGGGCAGGCUACUCCUUGAAGGGCAGGAUGCAGAAUGCUGUCGCACGUGCUGCCCUGAAAGCCUACCCAAAAGCCACCUACCUAGAGGUAGAUGAAAAGAUUGCAGACUUCAAGCAUGCACCUUUUCGGCUGAAGAGUAAGAGAAAGGUAUUACAAGGAGCAGAUGGAGAAAGAUGUGGAGGAGGAGGGCACAUAUGAAGAACCAGCACCUGAAUAAAUUAGACUUUUUUUUAGUAAUACCAACUUUAGUGUGGUAGGAUACUUUAGGUAUUGUUUAAAUAAAUUGUUUAAGCAGUACCAACAAGUUAAAUGAUUCAAGUCUUGAGGUCAGGGGAGGUUCCAAUACAUUGUAUACCAAACCAUACAUGCAUAGGACUCCAAAUCAGUAGCUAUAGUUUAACAUCCUUUCUCAUACCAUUUCUAGACAUUUGUUAUAACAUGAUUGGUUCAAAAUAUUUUGUAUACUCCGAUGAUUGUGACACCGAAAGAGAAAAAGAUUAGGAAUUUCCAUCUUCGGAGGACUGCCUUUUAGUAUGUUAAGCAUUUAGCAUUUUUCUCUGCUUAUCUCUAAGAUUAGUUUUAGGUCUACAGUUAAAGUAUAUUUUAACAUGUAAAGAUAUAUACAUGUAAAGACAGAUGUGGCUUGUAAUAUAAAGACUGAGUUUGAGAUGUUUGAUGCUUGUUUCAUUAACUUAAAAACCAAUCUUCAGGUAAUAAUAAUGUUCUGAAGACAGCCUUUAUACAGUUUUGUUUUGUUGUAUAUAUGUUGAUAUAUCUUUUUUUAUUAACCAAAUGGGUCACUUUAAUUGGCUUUCCAUUGAGAGGAUCAUUUGUGUUGUUUUGCACUAGAAGUACCAGUAACUUUUCUAAUCCUGAACAGGCUAUGACAUUCAGUACCUUUGUAAAACCUUAAAGGAAUGUUACAAAUGUCUCAGUUAUAUUUCUUGUACUUCAUGAAAACGUUAUUUUAGGUAAUCUUGAUAACAUUACUUACAGUACCAAUUGGGGAUGUAAUCGUGUGUAUGUUCAGGCAACUAUUAUAAUGUUACUAAAUAAACGUCAUUAGGACUUUCAGAGGCCCCCACAUUUCUGCGUCCUGAAUAGACUUGGGACAUAACUUACGUCAGCUGACACCACAGGUACAUACAGACGACGUUUCACAAGUACGUAACCAUGACUUUGUGGAGACUACAAAACCGUUGAGGUCACGUCCUGGAACGUAAUUUUAUUAGCUGGGACGUUGAGGUCACAUCGAGGAACGUAAUUAGCAACAUCAUUUUAAGUAAUCCUAAUAACAUUACUUACAGUACCAAUAGGGAACGUAAUCAUGUGCACGUUCAGGCAACUUUAUAACGUUACUAAAUAACGUCAUUAGGCCUUUCAGAGGCCCCCCACAUUUCUACAUCCUGAA
ensembl:lncRNA